UACGAAGGGGGCUAGCGUUGUUCGGAAUUACUGGGCGUAAAGGGCGCGUAGGCGGUGUGUCAAGUCAGGCGUGAAAGCCCCGGGCUCAACCUGGGAACAGCGCUUGAGACUGGCACGCUCGAGUUCGGGAGAGGAUGGUGGAAUUCUCGGUGUAGCGGUGAAAUGCGCAGAUAUCAGGAGGAACACCUACGGCGAAGGCAGCUCGCUGGGACGGUACUGACGCUGAGACGCGAAAGCGUGGGGAGCAAACAGG
rnacentral:rRNA from 1 species